UUUUCCCUCUAGUCCUUUUUCCCACACACCUUUCCCUUUUCCCUCUUCCUUUUUCCCACCUUCUCAUUUCCCUCUUCCACAUGUAAUCCCUCUCUAAUCUCUCUCAGAUUACAGCUUGGGUCUUUAAUCUCUCUCACAAAAUACGGCUUCUCGAUCUAAUAUCUCUCUACCUCCAACGAACGGCGCUUGUAGGUCUCCAUCUCGAUCUCUCAGUUUGUCUCCUUGUGUCUCAAACCUAAUAUUUUCAAGGAAUCAGAGAUCCUUCUUUCAAAGGCCAUCUAUAUAUUAGCAGCCAGCACUCUGGUCAAUGAUUGGACAGGGCCUUGGGGCUGGUGGUGGAUUGGAGGGCAUAGCAUCCAUAAAAGCAAUCAACACUGGUUGGAUGCAUCCCACUAUUAAAAUUGUCAAAAGCAUAAAAGAGGUUAUGGAUUCGAAUCAAGCAUUCUGUAAUGAGUCCUGAAGGCAAUGUUGCCCUUUCAACGAUGUCCAUGUAUCUCAUCAUUGUUUUGAUGAAUUAGAAUUAGUAAUUUUUUUCAGUAAAUAAAACGUUGAUGCCAAUUUCCCUU